GAUGAACGCUAGCGGGAGGCCUAACACAUGCAAGUCGAGGGGCAGCACAGGUAGCAAUACUGGGUGGCGACCGGCGGAUGGGUGCGUAACGCGUAUGCAACCUACCAUUGAUUGGGGGCAUAGCCCGAAGAAAUUCGGAUUAAUACUCCAUAAUAUUCAUCAAAGGCAUCUUUUAUGAAUUAAAGCUUUUGCGAUCAAUGAUGGGCAUGCGUGACAUUAGUUAGUUGGUGAGGUAACGGCUCACCAAAACGAUGAUGUCUAGGGGUUCUGAGAGGAUUAUCCCCCACACUGGUACUGAGACACGGACCAGACUCCUACGGGAGGCAGCAGUGAGGAAUAUUGGUCAAUGGGACGCAAGUCUGAACCAGCCAUGCCGCGUGCAGGAUGACGGCCCUAUGGGUUGUAAACUGCUUUUCCACGGGAAGAACCCUCCGACGUGUCGGAGACUGACGGUACCGUGGGAAUAAGCAUCGGCUAACUCCGUGCC
rnacentral:rRNA from 1 species